rnacentral:rRNA from 1 species
GAUGAACGCUGGCGGCGUGCCUAAUACAUGCAAGUCGAGCGAACAGACGAGGAGCUUGCUCCUCUGACGUUAGCGGCGGACGGGUGAGUAACACGUGGAUAACCUACCUAUAAGACUGGGAUAACUUCGGGAAACCGGAGCUAAUACCGGAUAAUAUAUUGAACCGCAUGGUUCAAUAGUGAAAGACGGUUUUGCUGUCACUUAUAGAUGGAUCCGCGCCGCAUUAGCUAGUUGGUAAGGUAACGGCUUACCAAGGCGACGAUGCGUAGCCGACCUGAGAGGGUGAUCGGCCACACUGGAACUGAGACACGGUCCAAACUCCUACGGGAGGCAGAAGUAGGGAAUCUUCCGCAAUGGGCGAAAGCCUGACGGAGCAACGCCGCGUGAGUGAUGAAGGUCUUCGGAUCGUAAAACUCUGUUAUUAGGGAAGAACAAAUGUGUAAGUAACUAUGCACGUCUUGACGGUACCUAAUCAGAAAGCCACGGCUAACUACGUG